UUUGAGAAAAAUGGACAAUUAGAGAAGAAGGAAAAACAAAUUGUAAACACAAGAAAAUACUAAUUGUCACAAUCCAUUGUUGAAGAUAAAAUCUAAUCACUGAAGAGUCGUAAUUACGAUGUCACUUGCUAUUUAAAAAGAAAACCACAAUUAAAUCAACUAAUUUGUUGGAAAAUUAACUGCUCAAUAAAAAGAACGAGAAUUUAAUUAAAAACGAUCAACUUGACAGAGAAAAAUUAAUUGUCCCUCUAAUCUUAUUUUCCAUAUGAUUCAAUCUCUAUGUUAAUGUUCACCACCAGGAGAACAAGAAAUUGAAAAGAAAAUGUAAAUUUGGUUUCUGUUCAUUUCUAAUUGUUAACACAAUUAAGUUAAUUUCUAUUCGUGUUAAUUAUACAUCUAAGCUGGACUUUCAUUUAGUUAAUCAUCUAUUCUUGUAAUUAAAUUAAUCUAAACAAUUUAAAUUCGUUUGUAAUCAGUUACAAUUUGUGAAUUUCCUUUCUCUCUUGUGUGUGUGUUUGGAUCAAACUCUUGUUUUCAUCUUCUUCUUUAUUCCAAUUAAUUAAUUAAUUAACAUUUUCUCUCUAAUUUUCUAUUUCUUAUCCAUUAAUCAUCAACUUUAAUUGCUCUCCAAAUGAAUUAAACAACAUAAAAGAUGAAAAGAAAAAGAUACCCGAUGACCCAGUUGAAGAAGUUCUUGUAACAUUGGAAUGAGAAAAAGAAACAAAAAAUCAAUGGUUAUCCUUUUCCUCCUUCAGGCCUAUUAGAAUUGAUAUAAAAUCAUCUUAAUUGUGAUUCUCCAAGAAGAAAACAAAAACGAUUUAAUUUAAUCAUCAAGAAUUAAGGAUCUUCAUGGUGGAUUAACUAUGGAUGGAUUUUAAUUUUUAAUUGGUUUUUCUAUCAAAACCUUGAAAUACAAGAUCGGAUCGGAUAACAAUUAACAGUAUUAAUGUAACAAAAUUAGUGAAAUUAAUCACAAUUAAUUGUUGUCUAAAUUGUUUUACACACGGUUAACUUGAGUAACUCCAGACGAAUUAAAUGUGAUUAAAUUUAAUUUAAUUUCACUAAAAAUCAAACACUCGGAACAAGUGACCAGUUAAUUAAUGUUAGUUAAAGUUGACAUAAUUUAAUUAUGUAACUUUAAAGUUAACAAUCAAGUUAAUAUUCAAUAUUAACAGACAUUAAUACAAAUGAUUAAGUUUAACAAGAGAAAAAAUUUGUUAUCAUUCACAAUUUAGUUAAACAUCAAACAAACAAUUUAAUGUUAAUCGUUUUUACACCUUAAUUGUAAAUAAUUAUCAUGCUAAAUGAUUGUUUGAUUCACAUAAUUGAAAUUAGAAUCAAGGAAAACCGUUAUUUCAUGUAAAUUAACAUUUAAUUAUAAAAAUCACAUUAAUUAAAGUUAAUUAGUGUUUGUUAAUCACCAAUAUAGUGACCACAAGAAAAUAACUAUUAGUUUAUCAAUACAACUAAAUCAAGUUAAUUGUUGGAAAUAAAAAAGCAACUGAAGAAGUUAAUUUGAUAACAUUGGAAUUAACAAUUAAUCACGAUUCUAAUCAACAAUUAACUAAAUGAACAAAAUGUUUCUCAACACGAAAAUGUUAAUUGUUAUUCAUUAAUUCAUAUCAAUCAUAUUGAAGGAGAGGAGAAAAUAUUUCUAAUUAAAUGUAAUAAUUUAAUUAGCACUUAAAACUAAUUGAUUAAAAUCAUAAUGAUCAAUUCUGAUUGUCAUCCAAAUAAUUUGAUUCAGUUUAAUUUUCAUUUCUCAAAGAAAAUUUAGAUCAGUAACAAUUAAAUAGCCUAACCUUGAAUUGAAUUUAUAAUCAGUGAUUAAAGUGGAUUGGGUGAAAAGUGAAAUUAACAAUUAGAUUUUUGGAAUAAAGAAUUACAAUUAAAUUUGAUUGUAAUUACAAUUAAAGUGAAAGUGUAAUUGUAAUUAUACUUUCUAAUGAAAUUAAUCAUUUACACCAAAUGAUUAAUUUUGUUUUCUGUUUAAUUUUUUUUCGCAACUUAAAUUGUGUUGUUAGUAGAGUUAAUUAGACAAUCAACUUAAUUUUAAUGUUAAUCAAGCGUCGGCGAUUAACAUUUAAUAUUUUAAUUGUCUUUGUAUUUUUAAUUGUUGUACGGAAAACAAAGUUGGUUAAAUGUUUAAUCUUCCGGUAAAAAUUGUUUCUUUUUGCUAUUUUCUUACCUGUUAA